rnacentral:rRNA from 1 species
UACGUAGGGUGCAAGCGUUGUCCGGAAUCAUUGGGCGUAAAGCGCGCGUAGGUGGCUUCGUAAGUCCGUUGUGAAAGUCAAAGGCUCAACCUUUGAAUGCCGAUGGAUACUGCGAAGCUAGAGUACGGAAGAGGCGAGUGGAAUUCCUGGUGUAGCGGUGGAAUGCGCAGAUAUCAGGAGGAACACCAAUAGCGAAGGCAGCUCGCUGGGACGUUACUGACGCUGAGACGCGAAAGCGUGGGGAGCAAACAGG